rnacentral:rRNA from 1 species
AACGAACGCUGGCGGCAGGCUUAACACAUGCAAGUCGAACGCCCCGCAAGGGGAGUGGCAGACGGGUGAGUAACGCGUGGGAACAUACCCUUUUCUACGGAAUAGCUCUGGGAAACUGGAAUUAAUACCGUAUACGCCCUACGGGGGAAAGAUUUAUCGGGGAAGGAUUGGCCCGCGUUGGAUUAGCUAGUUGGUGGGGUAAAGGCCUACCAAGGCGACGAUCCAUAGCUGGUCUGAGAGGAUGAUCAGCCACAUUGGGACUGAGACACGGCCCAAGCUCCUACGGGAGGCAGCAGUGGGGAAUAUUGGACAAUGGGCGCAAGCCUGAUCCAGCCAUGCCGCGUGAGUGAUGAAGGCCUUAGGGUUGUAAAGCUCUUUCACCGAUGAAGAUAAUGACGGUAGUCGGAGAAGAAGCCCCGGCUAACUUCGUG